UGGUGCGGGUCUUCAGGUAUGGGUCCCUGAUCUGGAACCCCGGCUUCGAUUUCAACGAGAAGAUCCUGAGAUUCAUCAAGGGCUACAAGCCUUGCAUUGACCAUAGAGGCACACCACAGAAUCCAUCCAGGACCUGCACCCCUAAAUCCGAAGAUGAAGAAAUAUGCGUAUUCAACGUGAGGAAUUUCAUACUUUUGGUGUGGUGCUAGCAAAUAUAGUGACCAAAGAUAGUGAUGAGAAAGGGUGGAGCUGAGUAUGCCACACAUGGAUAUGAUUAUUCCCCGUAUGUUAUUUUUG